GAUGAACGCUGGCGGCGUGCUUAACACAUGCAAGUCGAACGAAGCACUGAAAGCAGAUUACUUCGGUAGGAAGCUAUCUUUGACUGAGUGGCGGACGGGUGAGUAACGCGUGGGUAACCUGCCUCAUACAGGGGGAUAACAGUUAGAAAUGACUGCUAAUACCGCAUAAGCGCACGGGACUGCAUGGUCCAGUGUGAAAAACUCCGGUGGUAUGAGAUGGACCCGCGUCUGAUUAGCUAGUUGGUGGGGUAAGGGCUCACCAAGGCGACGAUCAGUAGCCGGCCUGAGAGGGUGACCGGCCACAUUGGGACUGAGACACGGCCCAA
rnacentral:rRNA from 1 species